rnacentral:rRNA from 1 species
GCAUAUCAAUAAGCGGAGGAAAAGAAACCAACAGGGAUUGCCUUAGUAACGGCGAGUGAAGCGGCAAUAGCUCAAAUUUGAAAGCUGGCCCCUUCGGGGUCCGCGUUGUAAUUUGUAGAGGAUGGUUCGGCGAGGGCUCCCGUCUAAGUCCCUUGGAACAGGGCGUCAUAGAGGGUGAGAAUCCCGUAUGUGAUGGGCUGCCUUAGCCAUGUGAACCUCCUUCGACGAGUCGAGUUGUUUGGGAAUGCAGCUCUAAAUGGGAGGUAAAUUUCUUCUAAAGCUAAAUACCGGCCAGAGACCGAUAGCGCACAAGUAGAGUGAUCGAAAGAUGAAAAGCACUUUGGAAAGAGAGUUAAAAAGUACGUGAAAUUGUUGAAAGGGAAGCGCUUGCAGCCAGACUUGUCCGCAGUUGCUCAGCCUGUCUCCUGACAGGCGCACUCUUCUGCGGCCAGGCCAGCAUCAGUUCGGGCGGUCGGAUAAAGACCCGGGGAAUGUAGCUCCUCUCGGGGAGUGUUAUAGCCCUGGGUGCAAUGCGGCCAGCCUGGACUGAGGAUCUCGCUUCGGCUAGGAUGCUGGCGUAAUGGCUGUAAGC